AACCAAGAAAUUCAGUCAUUCUUUUAUGGUAAAAAGACAGUUAGGUUAAAUUUAAAACCAUCAGACGUUUAAUAUAGGAGUAAAAUCUAAAUAUUAAAACUUAUCUCAAAUAUGGUUUAUUUGGGACACUGAAUCUGUGACAGCUUUAAGGGAAACUGGGAUUGGAUACCCCAUUAUUUUUAGUUGUAAAUUUAGUUUAAGCUUACCGGAGUACUACGAAUUAAAAAAUUUAAAACUCAAAGAGCUUGGCGGUGUUUUAGACCUCUCAGGGGAACCUGUCUCGUAAUCGACAAUCCACGUCAGACCUAACCCUUUAUGGUAACACAGUUUGUAUACCGUCGUCGUCAGGUAACUUCUUAAAAUAUAUUAGUUAGCUCGAUAAUCCCGUUAAUUAAAACGUCAGAUCAAGGUGCAGCUAAUAAAAGGGUGAGGAUGGGUUACAAUUACAAAUUUGUAAUUACGGAAAGACACUUGAAAUUUAGUAUCUUGAAGCAGGACUUGAAAGUAAUUUUAAGUAUAUAAAUAAAAUGAAUAAGGCUCUGAAACGUGU
rnacentral:rRNA from 1 species